GUUCUGGACAAAAUGCUCAGAAAUCUACAGGGAGAGAUGGAAAAGACCUUUUGCAAAGAGGCAGUGUGAAGAGCUUUGCAUAGAGAUAAUUUUUAACAAAGUAAAAAGAUGGACUUAUUUCAAAGACUUGCAAAUUAAUACUGGUUGUCUCCUGUCCCAAGUGCUAUACAAACAUAGAGAAAGAAAUGGUCCCCUCCCUGAAGGUCUUCCCUGAUGAUCUGAAACAAGAAGGAGCUGAUGGAGAUGUACUAAAAUAGGCCUUGCAGGAUCUCUAAUCCAUGCCAGCUGCAUCUACCUUUUGAAUUCCUGUUC
rnacentral:lncRNA from 1 species